AACGAACGCUGGCGGCAGGCUUAACACAUGCAAGUCGAACGCUUCCUUCGGGGUGAGUGGCAGACGGGUGAGUAACGCGUGGGAACGUGCCCUUCAGUUCGGGAUAACCCAGGGAAACUUUGGCUAAUACCGGAUACGUGCGAGAGCAGAAAGAUUUAUCGCUGAAGGAUCGGCCCGCGUCUGAUUAGCUAGUUGGUGGGGUAAUGGCCCACCAAGGCGACGAUCAGUAGCUGGUCUGAGAGGAUGAUCAGCCACAUUGGGACUGAGACACGGCCCAAACUCCUACGGGAGGCAGCAGUGUGGAAUAUUGGACAAGGGGCGCAAGCCUGAUCCAGCCAUGCCGCGUGAGUGAUGAAGGCCUUAGGGUUGUAAAGCUCUUUCGUCCGGGACGAUAAUGACGGUACCGGAAGAAGAAGCCCCGGCUAACUUCGUGCCAGCCGCCGCCGUAA
rnacentral:rRNA from 1 species